GGAGAAGAAGAAAAGGAGUAGGAAACAUCAAGGUUUUGGUAAGAAAUUUAGUAUUUACUCCUAAACAUUCUAGGGAACAUUUCUACAUUAAAAUUAACAAAGUUUAAAUUAAUGUUUGCAUGAUUAAAUCAUAUGCUUAAAAGAAAUAAUUUUACGUGAUUAACGCAUGUUUUAUGAAUGUACAUGAACUGAUUAUUUGCAUGUGAUUUAAACGAUCUAAUGCUUGAGAUAAAUAUUAAUAUGUGAUGCAAUUGAUGAUGAAAAAUAAUUAAGCAUGCAAUGAUUUAUAGAUAUGAGAAAUAUGUAUUGGUAUUGGAAAACGUAAUCUAUUUCGUUAGGCUUUUCAUCUAUGAGGGGUUUCUGUUUCUCUUCCACCUAGUUCGAAAAGACGUGAGAAGGCCACUCCCUGUGGAUGAUGGCAUAUCCUCUGACAAGAGUGGUGCUGCGAUAUGAUUAUAGGGGUCACCUUUGGGGAAGAAUGACCAUGGCUAUAGUUAACAUGUAGGACUACUACUGUUGGCACAACUAUGGUCAUAGAUCGUGUCAUGGUUUGGCAAGCCGUAAAUAUGUUGUUGGGUUAGCAAAUAGUAAAUUACUGUUAUAAAUAAAAUAAAUAGGUCAUUCCACAUGGGUAGACGAAAAUCCAUAUUACUCUCAGUAGAUGAAAGUUAGAACGACUCGGCGUAAAGACUAAAAAUAAAAGACAGUGCAUAUCAUGAUUUGUUUGAUUUUUUAUAUUUUUCAGCAUGACUGAUUUGAUAUGAUGGUUACGAUGUUUUUUUUAAUAAAUUAAAUUAUCUUCAUAAUUAAUAAAGGACUAUGUCAUGACUCUUGAUAGUAAGUGACAAUAGUACAUUUAAUCACUUUUAAAAUCUUAUGAUGUUAUUUAAAUAUUAUUUUUCUUAUUGAGUAUAUGGAGCUCACCCCUUUCCAUGCCUCCAUCCAGAUGAGGAAGAUAGUGAGAAAAUGAUCGCUGACCGACUCUUAGAAAUCUUUGAGGAUCCCGUGGAUCCAAAAACUUUUAUGAGUGCAUGAUUGUCCCGCACUUUGAUGAGUCCAUUUACAUAAUAAUAGAAGUGACAUUCUUUUGUAUUUUGUUAUUUUAUAUUUUGUUGCCAUUUCUAGCCUCAAAUAUGUAAGGAAUUUGUAAGUAUUUGUUUUACUACAUACAUUUAUUUAUUAUGCACUUGUACUCUAUUUUUGUAUCUGGCACCCUUAUGCCUUAAUUAGUAUUUGGGGUGUCAUAGUGUGCAUGUGGGUUUAUUUCAAUAAUAAAGAAAACAUUUUAUUUUUAAUUAAAAAACAUCAACAUCAAGUCAAUCACUUCAAACAUAUAAUCAUGUCAUGUAUAGAAUAGAGAAAAUCAAACAAAUUAUAUCAUAUCAUGCUUUCUUUUCAUCCUCUACUUAUUUUUUGCAUGAAUCUGUUCCGACCUCUAUUUACUGAGGACAAUACAAAUUCCCGACUACCUUUAUGGAAUGACAAGGUUCAUUUCAUUUUCAGCACAUUUAUGGCUUGCUAAACUACAUCACAUUUACGGCUUGCCAAACCAUGACACGUUCUAUGGUCACGACCUUACGUCGCCAAGGUGACCUUUACAAUCAUAUCGCGCAACCACUCUCAUUAGAGGAUACGUAGCCAUACACAGGGAGCAGUAUUCUUACAUCUUUUCAACCUAUAUGGAGGGAGAAACAGAACCCCUCAGAGAUAAAAAGCCUAAAAGACUUAAUUUAAAUACCAUCCGUGCAAAUGUCAAUAUUCAUUUUCACAUUUUCGUCAAAUAACAUUUUGUUUCUUGCAUCAUCUCUUAUCAUACUAUCAUGUUCAUUUUAUUUACUUAUUUACUUACAAGUGCUAGUACAAUAUAAAACAUGCAAUAUCAUGGAAUGUGUGCGAAAAUAUAUUAAAGUCAUAGCAAUAAUUAGACACGUAUCAAGCUCUUUCAUACUCAUGAAAUAUUUCAUUUAUUAAUCUAAAAAUACUGCUUAGAACAUAUAAAUAAAUACCAAGUUUCCAUACCGAAAGUUUGAAGUCUUUCAUACGCUCCUCUUUCUUUCCUUUCUUCCCUUCUCUCUUUCUCUCUCUCUGGCUCACUCUUUCUUUCUAGAAUUGCUUUAGUGAAUGGAAAAUGAAGAUGAAGUGAUGAAGAAGUGGUGGAAAUGGUCCCUAUUUAUAGAAAAAGAAAACCUUUAGAUUUUUGUUAAGUGGUGCAAAUUCAUGAGGAGAGAGGGAGGAAAAAAGUAGACCGAUGCGACACGAUGAUUGAUGGAUAAUUGAUG
rnacentral:lncRNA from 1 species